rnacentral:rRNA from 1 species
UACGUAGGGGGCAAGCGUUGUCCGGAUUUAUUGGGCGUAAAGAGCGUGUAGGCGGCCUUACAGGUCAGCUGUGAAAACUCGAGGCUCAACCUCGAGACGUCGGUUGAAACCGUAUGGCUAGAGUCCGGAAGAGGAGAGUGGAAUUCCCGGUGUGAGCGGUGAAAUGCGUAGAUAUCGAGAGGAACACCUGCGGCGAAGGCGGGUUGCUGGGCUGACACUGACGCUGAAACGCGAAAGCUAGGGGAGCGAACGGGG